UGGCCAGCUCUAACAGGGGUUUAAUUAUAGCCAUCUGAGGAGGGAGGGGAGACCUCCAUUAACACCUCACCCCUUCCAGCACUAUCGACUAGCAACAGCGUUGCUGUGGUAACUGGGCAAUCAAACAGCAAGGCUCAUGAAUGGCAGUUAAACUGUAAAGCUCCUGAGGACCAGCUAGCACAACAAUGGCUUGUCCUGGUGUCUGUUUUUGGUUGGGGAUCAGUAGAAAGUGUGCUACCAGCAAGUGCAAACCUGAAGCACAGUCCUUUGGUGUCUCUGGCACAGAAAGCCUGGUAGAGCACAAUAAAAUCUGUACAGGCAGUAUCUGACUCAUCAGUAAAACUACACGCAAAACUACUUGCUUAAUGAAUCCAAACACAAACACACCUCAUUAAUGAAGUCACAAUUGUGAGUAACUUGCUAUUAGUAGUGUCUAACAGAACUGUGAUGACUAUGACUAGCCAUGUAGCAGCUCUUCUACAA